GAUGAACGCUGGCGGCGUGCCUAAUACAUGCAAGUCGAGCGAACAGACGAGGAGCUUGCUCCUCUGACGUUAGCGGCGGACGGGUGAGUAACACGUGGAUAACCUACCUAUAAGACUGGGAUAACUUCGGGAAACCGGAGCUAAUACCGGAUAAUAUAUUGAACCGCAUGGUUCAAUAGUGAAAGACGGUUUUGCUGUCACUUAUAGAUGGAUCCGCGCCGCAUUAGCUAGUUGGUAAGGUAACGGCUUACCAAGGCAACGAUGCGUAGCCGACCUGAGAGGGUGAUCGGCCACACUGGAACUGAGACACGGUCCAGACUCCUACGGGAGGCAGCAGUAGGGAAUCUUCCGCAAUGGGCGAAAGCCUGACGGGGCAACGCCGCGUGAGUGAUGAAGGUCUUCGGACCGUAAAACUCUGUUAUUAGGGAAGAACAAAUGUGUAAGUAACUAUGCACGUCUUGACGGUACCUAAUCAGAAAGCCACGGCUAACUACGUG
rnacentral:rRNA from 1 species